GUUUGUUGUUUAAGCUACCCAAACUAAGACACUUACCAAAUUAAGGACACCUCAUUUCUCAGGUUAGUCCUCAUGGGGCUUUCCAGAUACUCUUUUCUGAAUCACUUCUCGUUCUGUUAACCUGCUCUGAGGUGCAAAAACCGAAGGGCAACAUAUAUGUGCUGGUGCGCACACAACUGGGGCUCAGUCCUCAGAGGGAGACUUUCUACAUGUCCCUCAGUUCCUAGGCACGAGCACCUUCCUGGUCUGAGCCCUGCAGAAUUUAAAGCGCUGUUUAUGCAUCCAGCUCAGGCAAACCAGCCGUGGCAGAGAAGCAUUCUGUCCCCUCCCCUCCCCUCACAUGCUUUUCUUUUGUCCACACGAGUCGUGGUGUGAAAGACCAGGCGGAAUGCUGUCGCUGUACACUCCCAGCUCCCAUGCACGAGCCAAGGAACUCCCGAAGGCAGGGGCUGUGUCUCACAGCCAGGACCCUUGUGUUCCCUCUCUCCUUACAGCUGCUUCUUUUGCCCCCCGGGUUCUGUUCUGCCUUGCCCAGUCGUGCCUCUCAUCACACCAUGGUCUAGGGGACUCUCCUCUCCCCACUCGCCACCAUGCCCUCCCUCAGACGCCCAGUAGUCCCACAGCCACACCCCUGGCUCAGCUCAAGGGUGAAUGAACGUUACACCACUCACAACCUCCCAGUCAGACCAGCUCAAGAGAGGGCUGUGCCAUGAACUCCCUCAGGGACUUCUAAAUCUUGUGACUCCCUCAGGUUCCAGAUCCUUUUUGUCACACAAAACAAGCACACAGAAAGAACGGAGAUGUUUUCUUUAAGCUUGAGACCAUUGUUUCAGGGACAGCAACAGUCUCGGUUGGGCAGGGACCAGCCAGAUGAUGUAUAACCCAUCCUGCUUUGUUCCUGGGCACCCAGUUGCAUUCCGUGCCCCAGCUGCCCUCUGGGACUGAAAUGUGGGCCUGUCAUUGACUUCCGGCCAAUGAGCUAGAGACAGAAGUCAGGUGUCUUUGUUCUAGGCCUGGCCCAUAAAUACUUCCUACAUGGCCCCUUGAUUUGUUUCUUCCAUUUCCUGCAUUUGGUGGUUGGCCGCUGGUGCCCUGAGUGAUGUUGGAAGACAGGAGUGUCUCAGCCCUGGCUGCCCACUGAAGUCACCAGGGGAACAUCAAACAAAACAAAACGACUCUGUGCCCAUGUCCCAUCCUUAACGAAUGGAAUUAGAACCUCUACUGUCAGGGAAACCAAGCUCCCCAUUGGUUUGAGUCCCCCAGUGACUGUGUGAAAUUUCUACGGUGUUCUAGAGCUAGCUUCCCUCUCAACUGAUACACUGGGCAAUUGCACCUCUACACCUGGGUUCGCCCGUCAUGUCCUGACCAAUCCUCGGCUGGAAGGAGGCUACAGGCAGGAGGCUCCCCCCUCCCUCAACACGAUCUUGCUGGAACUACAUAAAUACAUCCUCCCAGCACCCUGCCCAGUUCACAGCCUCGAGCGCCUUUUAAAAAGUUAGCAUGUUUCAUCUCCGUAACAAUGCUCUCUGUGUCCUCCCGAUGCCAAACUCCCGACGAAAGCAUGCGACAGGCUGUCCCCACUUCCGGCUUGCUGGAUGCUCUGUGCACACCUCUCACAGUCUGACUUCUUGGCCCCCAACCCCCCGACACCUGAAGAUCCGCUGGCAGAGCAGAUUUUCCAAGAUGACCGCCACAAGACCUUUCAUCCCACACGCCCUUCUUACCAUGUCACAUUGGCUCUCUGGUCUGUUCAUCAAGGAGAUGGGGCUCGUUCUUCCUCUCCUUGAAUCCAAGCUGGCCUGGGACUAUGGCAGAAGUGACUUUAUAGGACUUUCGAGACUGGGUUAUAAAAGGCAGUAUAGCUUCCACCUGGUCCUCUUGAGAUGCUCUCUCCUGGAAUCCAGCCACCAUGCUAUGAGGAAGCCCAGAAGCCACACGGAGAGGCCACGUGCAGGUGGCUCACCUACGGUCUCAGCCAACAGCCAGCAUCCACCACCACACAUGAGAGGGAAGAUCUGUCCAGGUGAUUCCAGCCUCUAGCUUGACAGUCUUCCUGGUGAGGCCCUGACAUUGGGAGCAGAGACAGCCUAUCUCUGCUGAGCCCUGUUCUAAACAGGGACAUCAUGAAAUGAUCGCUGCUGUUUUAGAGCACUCUGUUUUGGGCUAAUUUGUUGCGUGGCAAGAGUAACUGGGAUAGGCCCCAACAAUUCCCAAGCUUGAUGGUAUCUUCAUGUAGUCAUCCCUCCAGAUUUGUCUUUGGCAUUUGACCUGGGCCUCUCCUUUCUACAACAUUCUGUAUUGUCCUUCUGCUCUUUCAACAUAGCCCUAACACCCACAACUACACCCACUACCCGAGGGGUACCUCUUCCGAGCUCUGGACUGAAUACCCAUCGGCCUCCAGUGCUGCUGAUCCACCUAGAUGUUGCUCAGGCAAGAUGCAAUCGAUUACUUCUCUCCUCUGGCUGUGCCAUCUGCUUCCUCCUGCUCAGCUCCCCAUCUCAGCAAGUGACCUCACCAUCAACUCUGGGGCCCCUGGGAGAAACCUCAGUUCCACUAAAUGCAAAUGACCCACCCACCUAAAUUGUGUUCAAACUUCGUCAUUUCUUCUCUACUCCCACAGCCAGAUCUCUGUCACCUCUUAUCUGGAAUAAUGCAAUUAUCUUCCAAUUGGUAUUUCUGCCUCUAGUCUCUUCCCUCUGUCUCAGCUUAAUGACUGUCACCAGAGAUUAUUCUGAAGCACAAAUCAUGGUCUUGGCACUUUGUUGAUUCUGGCUUUUUGGACUGAAUUUUAACCUCCAUGAUGUGGGAUGCAAAGUCUCAAAACUUGUCCUGGUAGCCUAUCCAAUCUUAUCUCUUACCAGCCUUUCCCCCGUUUCCAUCAUCUUAAGUCUCCGCUGCUUACAACCACUCCCCAAACUUGACAGUGUUCUCCAUACCCUGUAAGCCAUUGUCUAGAGUGUUCUCUCUGCCUGGAAUACUGGUGAAAUUCAAGGUGUCUUCUAGACCCAGCUCAAAUGCCCUUUCUUCUGAGAAUCCUUCUCUGAUGCUACCAGGCAGCGUUAGCCACUAAUUCUUCCUGCUUUUUCCCCCUAGUAAAGUGUUUACCAAAGGCUAUUAUUUUCAUAUACUAAAAUGUGAAUGUCUGGAGGACAUAAACUGGAACUUACCACUUGUAUCUCUCGACAAAGGUUGAAUGAAUAAGGAAUCGGACGGAUAUAUACAUGGAUAGAUGGAUGCUGGGGCAGUGAUGUGUGGGUGGAUGGAUGGGUGAAUGGACAGGUGCUGGGGAGGAGAGAUAGGCAGGUGGGAGAGGGGUGGGUUGAUGAAUGAACAGCUAGGUGGAUGGUGGAUAGAAGGAGGGAUGGAUGGUUAGGUAGUGGACACAUGAUGGGAUGGAUGGUGAGCCCACGUAUGGACAUGAGACGGGAAGCAAACAACGGGAGGGCGCGUGAAUAGGUAGGUGGGUGGCGAGUAGGUGGAUUGGAUAUGGGAGUGGUUGUAGGACAGUGGAUGGAUGAAAGACGAGUGGCACCUGUGUGAGUGGAGAGUGGAAUUGUGGGUUGACAUCAAGAAAAAUCUUAGAAAGAAGAGAGUGAAAAGCCUUAGAGUUAUGUGCCCUGAGGGCAUGUGGUCGGGGGUGGGCUCAAUGUCAACUCAAGCCCCAGCUUGCUAACCUAACCCUACACUUGGAGAUCUUGGGGCAGGGCCCUGUGCCGCUCAAGUCUAUCUUCCAGAGUCUAGCACGGUUUCUGCCUUGUUCAAAUAGGCUUUAUUAAUAUUUGUCUAAUGGACCACAAUUCUUCCCAGAUGAUGUCCUUCCUCUAGCAACUAGAAACAUAGGGCUUAAAGAAACAUCCUUCAUUUGGUUCAGGAGAGGAGUCCGGCCUGUCUUCGGUCCUGCCCAGCCCACUGCUACCUCUCUCUUUCUCUCUUGUUCAACACAGACCAAGGGUCUUCCCUUAACUUCUCUGGGCAUAACCUUGGUCAUCUGUAAAAUGAAUCUUGGACUGAUUCAGUUCUACCAGCUUGACAUUUCUUGACUCCAGGAUCCCGAAGAGAUAAGUCAUAAAAUAUGCCAACUACUAUCAGUAUUUCCAUAAUCCACACGUUUGUCUCUGAGAAGCCCACCAGGCAACAAACAGGUCAGAUACCUUUGCUGUGGGCUAGGAUUAUAUUCACUCUGGCAGAAACAGCAGCCAACCUCAGACUGUGCCGACCAGAAGCCCUGUUUUAUCAUUUUAUUGUUCUUUAUUGAAUACCAAUGGGGAAAUGAGUGAUUCAUUAUGGGAUAGUGGUAGCUUGGUUGCAAAAUCUUUUCAAACAUGGCAAUCAUAGGGGGAACGUCUAUCUCUUCCUGGUCCUUAAAUCCAGCUGGCCUACCCACGCUUCGCACCAGAGCCCACCCAGGCCACUCACCUAGGCCAGGUAACUGCCAGCUUGCUCCUCCCACCCUCUGCUCUUCCCCUGACCUCAUUCUGGCGUGCAGAUUCAUGGCUCCCCAGGGGUCCACACCUGCUUUGGGCCACACGGUUUUUUGGAAGCCCUCGUGGUCUCCUCCCGUUGGAACACCUGUUGAGCUCUCCUUAUGUAUUCUCCACAGCCUCGUCAGCGGAGACACUCUGUGCUUUCUCCCAUGCCUUUGCCCCCGUCUGGCCGGGGUCCCUCUCCCUCCCCCAGCCUUCACUGAAGAUGAGGGAGCCAGACUGUGAUCCACAGGAUGGGGGGGCUCGAAGGUGCCUUCUCCUGGAAAUCUCCCAUGGCAUGUGAGAGGGACCCUCACGGCCCGAGGAGGGAGCCCUUGAAGCCACAGAGGCUGAAUGGCAGGGGAUACCCUGAGUUUAAAAAUGGUGGUUUAGGCCUUUGCCCCUCAAAGUGUGGUCUGUGGACCAGAAGCAUCAGCAUCACCUGGGCACUGGUGAGAAGCUGCCCCCUUACAAGCGUCCUGAACUAGAAUCUGCAUUUUAACAAGAUCCCCAGGGGAUGCCCAUGCACUGUAAAGCCCCGGGCUCGAUGACAGGAAUUCAGUGUGAUUCAGGUGAUAAGUCAAAAUCCUCGGAAGCUCCAAAAUGUUGUCUCAUCCUCUUACCUACAAAAGUCACCUGUGCCCCAUGGAACAGCUGCCCCCCCCCAAGUCUCUUCGUUGUAAAAAUGCAAUUAAAAUCCUGAGUAGUUCACUCAGCCAUUUACACCUUAGUACAAUUUGGCUUUCAGCCAUAAGCGAAGCUGUCAGCCAGCACUGGUCUGAGGAAGUGGGACGAUAAAGAGAUAAGCUUGGGUAGGAAGGGCAAAGGGAGCUGGCAGGUUGGGCAGACGGUCAGACAGCACUUGGCAGGGGGAUGGAGGGGGAGAGUGAGGUAAUGCAGUAUAGCAUGGGGGGCACGAGCAGGCCCUAUACGGGGGGAGAAGGGGAUGAACGGAACUGCCAGCUAUAGACUGAAUUGUGUUCCCCUUCCCAAAUUCUUAGGUCGAGUCCCAACUCCCAGGACCUCAGAAUGUGACCGUAUUUGGAAGUGGGGGCCUUUAAAGAGGUGAUUAAGUUAAAACGAGGGGGCUAGGGUGGGCCCUAACCCAACAGGACCAGUGUCCUCAUAAGAAGAGGAAAUGUGGACACAUUGAGAGAUCCCAGCAGGCGUCUCACCCAGAGGAAAGACCACGGGAGCACACAGUGAGAAGGCGGCCAUCUGCAAGCCCAGGAGAGAGGCCUCAGGAGAAAUCAACCCUGACGACACCCUGAUCGUGAGAAAAUAAGUGCCUGUUGCUAGAGCCCAACACUCUGUGGUAUUUCGUUAUGGCCGCCCGAGCCGACUAAGACAGCACCUUUGCCUCUUUGGCUGUUUUACCCAGAGCGAGCUGAGGAAGUGUGUCAUCUGGGAGAGGGAUGCCCCAUCUCCACACACAGGCCCUGCUUCUCCUCUGAGUGUUACGAAGAAAAGUAGGCUUGGCCGAACUCAGAAGAGAAGCCUGCUACCCCCAGUGUUUCCUCUCAGACUCUUAGCCACCCUCCUCACGAAACUGUUCACCCUGCUAUUGGCCCAUGCCUGGGUCCCUCCAAUGGGGAGAGGGCUCGGUGCUGUUGGACAAAAGCGGCCAACACUGUCACAGCGUGUACUUUGUUCCAGGCACUGUUCUGAAACCGUGUGCGUGUUAAGCCACCCACCAAAGCUUGCGAAGCAGGUUCUUUUCCUUAUCUUGUACCGUGGGCACAUUCAUGCAACUCCCCUUCAAAAAUGAAGGAUUUCUUCCCCAUUGCCAGGAGGGCUGCCUUCAGAUGGGCCCAGGCUAUGAGUCUCUGCAGGAAUGCCUCCAUUAAAGAGAGUCAUGGGGCGCCAGGGGGGCUCAGUUGCUUAAGUGUCUGACUCUUGAUUUCGGCUCAGGUUAUGCUCUCAGGGUCGUGAGAUCAAGCCCUGCCUUGGGCUCCAUGCUGGGCCUGGAGCCUGCUUAAGAUUCUUUCUCUCCCUCUGCCCCUCUCCUGCUGUGCUCUCUCUCUCUCUCUGUCACACACACACACACACACAACACACACACACACACCACACAAAAGAGCCAGUAGCCCUCAUCCGAUGACUGAUCAAGGCAGGGGUUUAAAAAACCAGAUCCCCGGGGCGCCUGGGUGGCACAGCGGUUAAGCAUCUGCCUUCGGCUCAGGUCGUGAUCCCGGUGUUGUGGGAUCGAGCCCCACAUCAGGCUCCUCUGCUGUGAGCCUGCUUCUUCCUCUCCCACUCCCCCUGCUUGUGUUCCCUCUCUCGCUGGCUGUCUCUUAUCUCUGUUGAAUAAAUAAAUAAAAUCUUAAAAAAAAAACCAGAUCCCCACACCCCAAAUCUGGACCAUCCCAGGUCCAGAGCUCCCUGUGAGGUCAGCUGAAGCCUCUGAUGAGAUGCCAUCACAUCCCGACUUCUCCCUCGGCCCACCCUGCUUCCUUCCCUUCCCUUCCAUGUGUUCGGAUCCAAAGAGCACACCCUGAUACCUUCCUGCGUGUGAUCUCCAUCUCGGAGUCGGCUUCCUGGGAAACGGCACCUUCAGCUCUCCACUUGUACAAAUUGAGAAACUGAGGCCCAGCAGAGUUACGCAACUGUCCUCAGGCCACAGCAUUAGCAGGUGAUAAAACUGGGACAUGAGCCCAGGCAGUCUGGCUCCAGGAUCCAUACUUUUAACGACUACGCCUGUCUGACGGAUCGCUGAGUGCCAACCCUUUCUGUGGUGGAAUGUGACCUACAGAAGGUAGCAAUCUGGACUCUCCCCUCCCGCCUCCCUGCAAGUCGAUUAGAAAGCAAGCAAAAUGGAUUUCCUCAGGGGUCCGCCGGGGCUCCGUUUUAAGAGGCCGCCCGAGGGACCACCUAUGGAGGCUCUCCCAACACCUGCAGCCCAAGUGGCUCUUUCCAGGCCAACAGUCACGAAGGCAGUCUCCCCUCCUCUGACCCGGGCCCUCCCUACUGCUGUGUGGCUCAUGUAGAAACACAGCGUAAUUGCUCACCUCGUAGACGCGAACUGAAUCAGCGCCCCUCUGCUGACAGCGUUAGUGACAAGUGAUCGCAUCAGGACACUGGAUCAGCAGCCAGGACCUGGGCGCCUGUGUUGUUUACUGGUCCAUCAUGUAUAAUUUUAGAGUUUAAUUUUAUCUUCACAAACUUACAGGUGCAAAAUGCAGGAUAAAGUUCUUUAAGGGGCCCCUGUGAGAAGCCAGGCUAUGCUUGUCCUCCCUCCCUCCCCCACCAAGAGCUCUCAGGGUGGCUCACUCAAAUUAAAUCAUUAUUGAGGACGAAUAAUCCUGGUAGGUUCAGAAAAUCAGUUUUAAAUUCAGCCUGCUAGCAAAAUUCUGAAUGUAUUUACUUUCUAGAUUUCAUUUCUCCAUCCAUAUUAAAGCUCCGUGGCAUUAUCAAUUAUGGGUUUAUUGCAAAGCACAAUAGGAUUCAAUCUGGAGGAAUGCCUCAGGGUAUGUCUUAGGAGGACGAUAAAGCUAAUAGUAAUGGGUCUACAACUUCUAAGGCUAAUUUUCACAGUUACAAAUUUCGUAAAUAAAUAGAAGGCAUGUCAGUUUCCAGUCACCCAGCUUGAGGCCUCUCAUACCGAUAAAACAGGACCUUCCAUCGCUUCCAUCGGGGGGCUCCUGUUUGGCUCUCGGUGGGCUAGCCUGAAGUUUCCCUGAUGCCCCCAGGAAGGGAAAUGAUGAGCAGUUCAGAAGGAGCCCUUCGGCCCCCUCUGCCGCUCCUCCAACCAGGUCAGGAGCUGCUUUGGAUGAAAACGGAUACAAAAGCAUAGCCAGCCCUGCUGGGAGGCCACCACAGAGCCUCAGCCCAGAAUCGGGCCAAACUCCGCGACUGGGCCGGGUGGGCUGUCAUGCAUGAAUGCUGCGGGGCUGAAAGCAGGCUUCGGGGCUCUGUGCAGGAUGGGGCUGUGUUUGAUACAGGCCCGGGCCUCUGAUGUCCUUCUGGAAAGAGCAGGGAGCAGGGAGAGGGAGGUGCUGGUGUAAAGGCUAUGCUUCUGCACUCCUGGCUAUUUCCAGCCAGGUUCCUCUUAGACAGGGAGGAUGGGCCCUCCCCGCUGCCUCUGUGAUCCCACCGCUCACACACCUCUCGUCCGGCCUGCUGUGUGCUGUCAGACACACUGGUCCCCAGAGCCACAUCCUCCGGCUAGCCUCGGCUAGUGGCCGUCUGUUUCCUGCGAGCUCACACUCCUUUCCUACUCACAGCAUCUGCCCUCAGGUAUGGACCUCUAGUCUUUCCACUUUUGACCCAGGGCUUUUCUGACACUGUAGCAGCCCCUUAAAGGCCAGUGCACGAGAACAGUCCAGAAGCACAAGGUUAACACCCAAAGAGGCAAUCUCCAACCAACGGAGGGGCAGGAGCCAGGGGUAAAGUCCAGACGCAUUCCAUGUACCUCUCAGGGUGUCCCAGCUGGGGCAAACCCUGGUUGCCUGUGGCAGUGACCUUCACACACUUAACACUGGCUUUCCCCUCUUUCUUGCCUCCCUCUCCCUGCUCCCUGCUCCCUCUUUCCUGAUUCUUGGGGUCAGCCCUCAAAUGAAUGCCCUGCACCCAAGUCUUGGUCUCGGGUUCUGCUUCCAGAAGAAUCCAACUGAAACAGAUGGGCAACACUGGAUCUGCUCCUUUGAGUAGGAUAAAGGCAGGCAUCUUCCAAUAGCUCUCGUAGAAGUGCAUGCAUGGAACCUAGCGAGGGAGGACAAUUCUUCUCCCCUCCCCUGUUCACGUGGAAACUUCGUCAGGGGAGCUAUUUGUCACCCAGGGAAGGCAGGGAGAGAGGAGAGCCAAGAGAUGUAAGAUUAUUAACGUGGGGAUGCGGGUGGCAGGGAACAGGGUGAAAGAGGCCCUGGGGAUGCGGGACUCAACAGGAGUGAGAAGAGCAAGGGCGAGUGUGUGUGUACACUUGUGUGUGCACCUGUGCCCAUGCAUGCGUGUGCACGUGGAACUGUGCGUGUGUGCGUCGGUGUCGAGGCAGCUACACACCUUCCAGGUGGCAUGAAGGCGUACCCACAGGUGACGAAGGGCUUGGAUCCGAGGCCAACAUGCUGGGGUAGGGACUCCGUGACAACCACCUUGCCUGGGGCUCCGUUCUGACCAGACACAGCUUCUGUCCGCAGCAGUGACCUCCAGAUGCCAAGCCGGUCCACGAGGUUGUGCAGUCACGGCUGGUCCAGAUGCGGUAGAGAAUCCGCAAAGCCAACACAGACAUCAGCCCACAGAUGUCUCGGAAGCUGGAAAAAACUCAACUCAGACCGAGAGCCACACCUAUUAGUAAUGGCUGGCGUGUCUCAGGAGUUUACUACGUGCCAGGAGGUGUUCUAAAUUAUUUACUGUGUGUUAGCUGUUUAUUCUUCAUGACAACCUUUGGAGGAUGGUACUAUUAUUAUCUCCUAUGUACAGAUGAGGAAACUGAGGCGGAGGGUGGUGGAGUAACUUGUUCAAGGUCACACAACUAGUAAAGCACUAGCCUGGGAUUUGAAGCCAGGCAGCUACGUGAGCAAGGCAAGGUGUCUGGUGCUGUAGAGACACAGAUGUCUUAUGAGACGGAUUUCUGGCAUUCGAGGACCUUAAAAUUUAUUGGGGGGGGGGACAGACAUUUACACAAAUAACAGAGUAUGAAGCAAAAUGAAAUAAGCCCUUUAGUAGCCUCCAGGGUUCCAUCCUGUUAAACAGUCUCUGAUUCUAUGGCUUAUGUCUCACUGUAGCUUUCACAGGUGCAGGUGCUGGGAAAUUUUGGGGUGGAGGGGCUUCGGGUCCCAGGAGUGGAUGGGGUUAGGUUGACGUGUCAAUUCAGAGGAAGUCAUGCCUCCUCCUUGCUGCUGGGAACAGGGCUGUGAUCCUCCUUUAGGGCUUCCUGCUGAAUGGUUCCAUUCGGAGGUACCUCUUUUCAUUCAAUCAUUCUGUAAACUUGGAGCCCCUCUGGUGCCUCUGUGCAUACACCCCUUGUUUUAGGCAGCACGGAUGCUCCAGUGAGGCCCACUAGACAGGCCCCCAUGUGCCUGUACCCUGCCAAGUAGCCUGCUGAAUCUGCAAGGGUAUGUAGGCUCUGCUAGGCUAGGCACAGAGUGAGUUAGUGAAGGAAGCCCUCUGAAGGGAGAGGGAAUCUUGGCAACACGGAGUCCAGCAGGAAAUGGCUCCUAAGAGAGUAAGACCCCAAGUUCUUGAAUUUUCAUACCCAGUAUCAGUUCACAGCAGACUUGCUCUUCUCCCUUUCCUGCCGUUGGGAUUUUGUAAGAUCUCUGUAUUCACAAGUAAACCUCCUUGUUCCUGAAGCUAGCUUGAGUGGAUUUCUCUUCCUUCCACACAGAAGAAGCUUUUAUUAGUAUUUAUUUAAUAGAGGAAAUAGAACUAACUGUCAUAUUAUGGUCUACUAACUAAUAAUAAGAAAACAUUGUAAAGAAGGUGACAGUGGAUGUGCGUAACAAAUACAUGGAUAAAACAUUGUGUUCUAAGAUAUGGAAAGAAUGGAUGUAAAUGUAUAAAGUCAACAUCUAGAUUCCAUGAUACAGUAGGCCAAGGGGACUAAUGAGUAAGUGUCACACAAGGAAAUAGUAAUUGUAAAUCAAUGCCUUGGAAAACAUGAACUUCACAAGUACACUAGAAUUUAUUCAUUCAGAUGUUUAAAACAAAUACUCGUCGAGCACCCAUUUAUGUGCCAGGAACUUUGUUAAAUUUGAGGCAUAUGGAGUUGAAUUGGCUAUUGAUGAUGCCCUCAAAGUGCUUACAGUCUAGACGUGGAGAGGACAAAUUAGGCAGACAAUAAUAAGAACAUCUAGAAGCACCUGUUCUGGAAAAAAUGUAGUGCUAAAAUAUGACAAAAACCAAUACAGACUGGAAACGAGGGAAGUGAAACUCCCAAGGUGCCAGAGUCAAAUAUGGUUGUAAGCCAGCAUAGUAAGUCUAUAAAGUGAUGCUGUGGCAUCCAGGGAGCCUACCAGAAAGAAUAUAAACUCUGGGAGCUGGGGGUGGGGGGUGGCACGGUCAAGUUUGAACAUGGAUGUGAAGUCAGAAAAUAUGGUAGUAGCCCUCAUAAAACGGGAGAGCUGAACAUGAGGUCUUUGCAUAAAGUUGAGACCUUAUGAGGAUGAAAAAGGGUAGAGGACCAUACUGCCAUCAGUCCAGGCUAGUGGCAAGUAUCCCCUUUUCCCAGAGCUCUAGGUAGUAAAUAAAAAGCUCUCCAUGAGAAUUCAAAGUCCUAGAGAGUCUGAAUUUACUCCAUCUGUAUGAUAUAGGAGUUCCUCAAUCCAUAAAAUUAGAUAAAAUCUGGCCCUAGAAAGCAGAGGCAAAACUCGUCUGUAGCAGUGCUGCCAUGUUAUAGAGUGAAAAAGACUCCCGUCCGACCUCCUACAAAAGCCUGCUAUUGAUGACUUCACAGUAAAACACAUCACAACACAUCUGAGACAUGAUUCACCAUGAGGAAGAGUCAGCAGGAAAACAAAUAAGCAGAUGAAAAUAUAAGCGUCCCAAAGACCUGGGGGUAAUAGAACAACUGAGUGAGACUGUAAAGUAAGUUUAUUUAAAAUAAUUAAAUCAAUAAAAGAUAUACAAGUCAUAAAGAAAGGACAUGACACUAUGUAAAAAUAAAGCAGAGGUACUCAAAAAAGAAGCCAGGAGAACGUCUGGAAAUGAAAAAAAAAUGAAAUUAAAAACGCAAUGAAAGAGUGAAACAGAAUAAGACCCAAAGCUGGAAAGUGUUUCUGAAACUCAAGACAGAGCUGAAGAAAUCACCUAUAGUGUACAAUGAGAUGAAGUGAUAGGAAAAGUAAAAGAGGGGCUAGAGAACAUUGGGGCUAAAAUGAGAAGGUUCAACACAGAGCUGAUCAAGUCUCCAGGAGUAGAGACUAGAGAACAUAGCACUGUGGCUAAAUUAGAAACACUCAGGGCAGAGAGAACUUUCCAGAAUUAAUGGCAUCCAUAAAUCCUCCGAUUCAAAAGCACAGUGAGCCCUGAGGGCAAAUGAAUAUCAAUCCACAAUUAGGUGUAUCAAAAUACACCUUUGUUACUACAAAGACAAAGAGGAAAUCUCAAAAAUAGCCCAAGAGAAAAGAAAAAUCAUUGACAAGGAGCAACCACUGAAUGACAGCAGCAGAUUUUGCAGCAGCAUCAGUAGAGGCCAGAAGGAACAACGGCCAGAGAGUGAAGCAUAACCGGCGCUUCAAAAAUUCUAUACCCACCUAAACUGUCAUUCUAUACUCACCUACACUGUCAAGAGUGAGGAUGGCAGUGCUCAAACUGUAUAUUACUAACAGUGAGGCCACAUGUGGCUCGUAAUAUAAUCCAAUAUCCAACAGGCAAUGUUGCUUAUGAAGUAUUGUCAAAAAUGUGUAAAAUGAAAAGAAAGGGACGGGGAGGCGCCUCUCCUGCAUGAAAAGGAAUUUAAGCAACAGAGUGAUUAAAUGUUGUAUGUGGUCCUCAGGUUGACUUCUGAAUGGACCAGAUCAUCUGUCAAAGACAACUUUCAAAAGAAUUGGAGCAAUCUGAAUAUGGACUGGAUAUUAGAGAAUAUUGGGGAAGCACUGUUAAUUUUGUUCAGCUUGUAUGGUAGUGGUAUUAUGUUUAUGUUUAAACAGUCCUUUUAAAGAUGUGCACGGAAGCAUUUAGGAACAUGUAUUAGCCAGAAUAGAGUGGCAUAAUAGAGGAAAGGUUUAAUAAAGGGACUAUUUACGAAGGUGUGGCCAGGAUGUGGGGAAACCAAUAAAGUAUGCUGAAGUGCCUGGAGCUCUAGGAGUUCUCAAUCGUGGGUCUUCAAGGAAACAGAGAGGAGCAAUUUCUGGGACCUGGAGGAAGAGGUGUGGUUAUAGCUGUAGGUUUCCUUCCAGAAGCUGUAGACUUCAGUGGAGAAACACAACACUGCCAACUUCUGGUCCGCCUUCUCAUCUGUUGGAUCUUCCUAUUGACCAAGCCUGACUAAGAGCUAGGAGGCAAGAGGGUCUUGGGCAUGUGGUCCUAGAGGUCAGUCUCUCAAGAGCAGAGCAAGACAGAGAAAAGAAUAGGGGAAAUAAAAAGGCAAAAGUGAGGAUGCCUAUAAUCUAUUUUUAGAACAAAAGCAGAUGAAAUAAAUAUGGCAUAUGUUAAUAAUUGUUAAAUCCAGAUGAACUGUAAGUGUGCUUGCUGUACUGUUUUUCCUAUUUUCUGUAUAUUUGAAAUUUUUCAUAACUAAAAGUAAAACGUGAGGGUGAAAUAAAUUAGACCAGUUAAAACAAAGUCUGGGAGAAUUUAUGCUUCUGAUCUUAAUGGAAAGAAUUACCAAAGGAUUUACUUCAGAAGUGUAGCUCGGAAAUUCAACCCAGAAGGGAAAGACAGGAUAUGAAAAGCAACGAUGAGUAAUGAAGUUGGUAAACAGGUGGGUAAACCUAAGUAAGCGUUAAUUAGAAGGAAAGGAUAGCUGGAAAUCACAGAUCGGUGUGUGAAGUGAUACUGUAGGUGUGAGCAGAGAAGAGGACAUGUAGGGUAGACAAAAGGAGAGUUGAGUUGAGGAAGGCUUCCCAAGAAAGGAAGGACUGACGACUUGACCUGAGUUUUAAUGGUCAAAUAGGAUUAACAGAAGAAGAAUCAGAAAGAAGGACAAAUCCAGGCAGAGGGAGCAUCGUGAGAGAGCCCAGAGCUGGUUCCAAGCAUUGUCUGCAUCUGAUAAAGUUGGGCAGGGGUUACUUCGGGGGUGGCAGGAUAAGUAAAUAGGCAGGAACCACAGCCAAAGGGUCUGUUACAAGUCAGAUCUCAAGGGGUCUAAGCUAAAGCCCGGGGAACAAUAUGAGGAUUUUAUGCCGGAAAUGACCUGAUCAGACUUGCAUUUUCGAAAUGAAACUCUAAGUCAGUUUUGGAGGACUGAUUGGAGAGCUCAGAGGGGAGGAAGAGAGCAGGCAGGAGCCGCAAUCAGGGCGAGGUGAGGCGGGGCGAAGCUCUGAACUACGGCAGUGACAGUGAUGAUGGAGAGGAUACAGAUUCAAGAGACAGCCAAGAGGUCGAAUGAAUAAGACUUGGGGACUGAUAGGAUGGGGGUGGUGGGGAGCGGCAGCAAGGGAGAGCCAGAAAGCAAAUGUGGCCCCCCCGGGCUCCUGCCUGGGUGACUGAUGCAUGCAGGUGAAAUCAUGACUGUCAACCUUCAGGGGGAGCAGGCUGGAGGCGAGAUGAUGGCUCAGUUUUGUUGAAGUCUAAAUACCUCGGUCAGAAGCCAUGAACUAGGGGGAAACCCCCAGACAUCAAGUGUAGAUUUAAGACAAAGAGAAGGCGGGGACAUGUAAACCUUGUCUAUUCAUUUUAUCAGGAAGAAAAACUUUCCCAUAAUAUAUCCCCUUUCCAUAUGCAUGUGUUUGUGUGUGUGCAUGGACGUGCGCACGCACACACACACACACACACACAUAGAGUCUUAUUGGCCAGAUGAAUUGGGUCAUAUGACAUCCCUAGCUUCCCAGGAGGCUGGGAAAGUAGAGAAGAAAAUUGUCAUAAUUAGCUUAGACAAAUCAUGAACCAGUGCCUGUGGAUGACAUGUUACUCCCAAACAAAACUGAAUUUCUGUUAGCAAGGAAGAAGGGAGGGUGGGAGUUGAGCAGAAAACUAAGAGUGUUUACCCCACACAAUCAUACUGACUGGGGCCUGGGUUUGAAAACUCAGAAAGACGAACCGUGGAGGCGGGGGAAGGGAGUAAGCACCACCAGACGCCCGACUCCGAAGCCGAGUGACAGAGACCAGAGAUGCCCUGCUUCCUGGUCAGCCUAAUGAGUGUGGGCAAUUGGCUCCAGAUCAAGGCCCAUCAGAUCGGGGGACAGAAGCCAAGAGUGAUUGAGAACUUCCUGCCUCAAUAGCUUGUUCCGGGACCCAGGACAGUGCUGAAUGUGCACUGGGAAAUUUGAUGGAACCAGUUAUAGGGAUUUGAGGUGGCA